rnacentral:rRNA from 1 species
UUUAUGGAGAGUUUGAUCCUGGCUCAGGAUGAACGCUGGCGGCGUGCCUAAUACAUGCAAGUCGAGCGAACAGAUAAGGAGCUUGCUCCUUUGACGUUAGCGGCGGACGGGUGAGUAACACGUGGGUAACCUACCUAUAAGACUGGAAUAACUCCGGGAAACCGGGGCUAAUGCCGGAUAACAUGUUGAACCGCAUGGUUCUACAGUGAAAGACGGUCUUGCUGUCACUUAUAGAUGGACCCGCGCCGUAUUAGCUAGUUGGUGGGGUAACGGCCUACCAAGGCGACGAUACGUAGCCGACCUGAGAGGGUGAUCGGCCACACUGGAACUGAGACACGGUCCAGACUCCUACGGGAGGCAGCAGUAGGGAAUCUUCCGCAAUGGGCGAAAGCCUGACGGAGCAACGCCGCGUGAGUGAUGAAGGUCUUCGGAUCGUAAAGCUCUGUUGUUAGGGAAGAACAAAUGUGUAAGUAACUGUGCACAUCUUGACGGUACCUAACCAGAAAGCCACGGCUAACUACGUGCCAGCAGCCGCGGUAAUACGUAGGUGGCAAGCGUUAUCCGGAAUUAUUGGGCGUAAAGCGCGCGUAGGCGGUUUUUUAAGUCUGAUGUGAAAGCCCACGGCUCAACCGUGGAGGGUCAUUGGAAACUGGAAAACUUGAGUGCAGAAGAGGAAAGUGGAAUUCCAUGUGUAGCGGUGAAAUGCGCAGAGAUAUGGAGGAACACCAGUGGCGAAGGCGGCUUUCUGGUCUGCAACUGACGCUGAUGUGCGAAAGCGUGGGGAUCAAACAGGAUUAGAUACCCUGGUAGUCCACGCCGUAAACGAUGAGUGCUAAGUGUUAGGGGGUUUCCGCCCCUUAGUGCUGCAGCUAACGCAUUAAGCACUCCGCCUGGGGAGUACGGUCGCAAGACUGAAACUCAAAGGAAUUGACGGGGACCCGCACAAGCGGUGGAGCAUGUGGUUUAAUUCGAAGCAACGCGAAGAACCUUACCAAAUCUUGACAUCCUUUGACCGCUCUAGAGAUAGAGUUUUCCUCUUCGGAGGACAAAGUGACAGGUGGUGCAUGGUUGUCGUCAGCUCGUGUCGUGAGAUGUUGGGUUAAGUCCCGCAACGAGCGCAACCCUUGAACUUAGUUGCCAUCAUUCAGUUGGGCACUCUAAGUUGACUGCCGGUGACAAACCGGAGGAAGGUGGGGAUGACGUCAAAUCAUCAUGCCCCUUAUGAUUUGGGCUACACACGUGCUACAAUGGACAAUACAAAGGGCAGC